CAUUCGCAAAAAAAAAAAAAAAAAAAAAAAAAAAAAAA
rnacentral:ribozyme from 1 species